GGGUACUGGUACAGAGUCAAUGUGGAGGCUAUAUACAUGGUGUUACGGUACAGAGUCAAUGUGGAGGCUAUAUACAGGGGGUACCGGUACAGAGUCAAUGUGGAGGCUAUAUACAUGGUGUUAUGGUACAGAGUCAAUGUGGAGGCUAUAUACAGGGGGUACCGGUACAGAGUCAAUGUGGAGGCUAUAUACAGGGGGGUACCAGUACAGAGUCAAUGUGGAGGCUAUAUACAGGGGGGUACUGGUACAGAGUCAAUGUGGAGGCUAUAUACAGG
ensembl:lncRNA